CUUCGAGGCAGGGUGAAAUUCCCUAUCGGUGGUAAAGUCCACAAGCUAAGAAAUAUUUCUGGUUUUGAUGUAUAGUGGCAGAAUGUUUCAGGCACGAAUCGGUGAAACUCCGAUACCGACGGUAUAGUCCGGAUGAGAGAAGUU
rnacentral:ncRNA from 1 species